rnacentral:rRNA from 1 species
GACGAACGCUGGCGGCGCGCCUAACACAUGCAAGUCGAACGGAGCUGAGAGAAGCUUGCUUUUCUUAGCUUAGUGGCGAACGGGUGAGUAACGCGUGAGUAACCUGCCCUGGAGUGGGGGACAACAGUUGGAAACGACUGCUAAUACCGCAUAAGCCCACGAUCCGGCAUCGGAUUGAGGGAAAAGGAUUUAUUCGCUUCAGGAUGGACUCGCGUCCAAUUAGCUAGUUGGUGAGGUAACGGCCCACCAAGGCGACGAUUGGUAGCCGGACUGAGAGGUUGAACGGCCACAUUGGGACUGAGACACGGCCCAGACUCCUACGGGAGGCAGCAGUGGGGGAUAUUGCACAAUGGGGGAAACCCUGAUGCAGCUACGCCGCGUGGAGGAAGAAGGUUUUCGGAUUGUAAACUCCUGUCGUUAGGGACGAUAAUGACGGUACCUAACAAGAAAGCACCGGCUAACUACGUG